rnacentral:rRNA from 1 species
GAUGAACGCUGGCGGCGUGCCUAAUACAUGCAAGUCGAGCGAACGGACGAGAAGCUUGCUUCUCUGAUGUUAGCGGCGGACGGGUGAGUAACACGUGGAUAACCUACCUAUAAGACUGGGAUAACUUCGGGAAACCGUAGCUAAUACCGGAUAAUAUUUUGAACCGCAUGGUUCAAAAGUGAAAGACGGUCUUGCUGUCACUUAUAGAUGGAUCCGCGCUGCAUUAGCCAGUUGGUAAGGUAACGGCUUACCAAGGCAACGAUGCAUAGCCGACCUGAGAGGGUGAUCGGCCACACUGGAACUGAGACACGGUCCAGACUCCUACGGGAGGCAGCAGUAGGGAAUCUUCCGCAAUGGGCGAAAGCCUGACGGAGCAACGCCGCGUGAGUGAUGAAGGUCUUCGGAUCGUAAAACUCUGUUAUCAGGGAAGAACAAAUGUGUAAGUAACUGUGCACAUCUUGACGGUACCUAAUCAGAAAGCCACGGCUAACUACGUG